rnacentral:rRNA from 1 species
GGGCUACACACGUGCUACAAUGGCAGAUACAAACCGUCGCGAGACCGCAAGGUGGAGCUAAUCGGGAGAAAGUCUGUCUCAGUUCGGAUUGCAGGCUGCAACUCGCCGUGCAUGAAGUUGGGAAUCGCUAGUAAUCGCGGAUCAGCACGCCGCGGUGGAAUACGUUCCCGGGCCUUUGUACACACCGCCCGUCACAUCACGAAAGCUGGCUGUACUAGAAGUCGCCGCGCUAACCCGCAAGGGAGGGCAAGCGCCUAAGGGUAUGGUUAGUGAUUGGGGGGUGAAGUCGGUAACAAGGUA